UGCGCAGGCGGGCUUGUAAGUCAGUGGUGAAAUUUUGCGGCUUAACCGUAAAACUGCCAUUGAUACUGCAAGUCUUGAAUAUGGUUGAGGUAGGCGGAAUGUGUUGUGUAGCGGUGAAAUGCAUAGAUAUGACACAGAACGCCGAUUGCGAAGGCAGCUUACUAAGCCAUGAUUGACGCUGAGGCACGAAAGCGUGGGGAGCGAACAGGAUUAGAUACCCUGGUAGUCC
rnacentral:rRNA from 1 species